rnacentral:rRNA from 1 species
GUACAGGUGGUGCAUGGCUGUCGUCAGCUCGUGUCGUGAGAUGUUGGGUUAAGUCCCGCAACGAGCGCAACCCUUGUCUUUAUGUUGCCAGCACGUGAUGGUGGGGACUCGUAAGAGACUGCCGGGGUCAACUCGGAGGAAGGGUGGGGACGACGUCAAGUCAUCAUGCCCCAUAUGUCCAGGGCUUCACACAUGCUACAAUGGCCAGUACAGAGGGCUGCGAGACCGUGAGGUGGAGCGAAUACCCUUAAAGCUGGUCUCAGUUCGGAUCGGGGUCUGCAACUCGACCCCGUGAAGUCGGAGUCGCUAGUAAUCGCAGAUCAGCAACGCUGCGGUGAAUACCGGUUCCCGGGCCUU